rnacentral:rRNA from 1 species
UACGUAGGGGACAAGCGUUAUCCGGAAUUACUGGGCGUAAAGCGUGCGCAGGCGGCUUUGUAAGCCAGAUGUGAAAGCCCCGGGCUCAACCUGGGAACUGCAUUUGGGACUGCAAGGCUGGAGUACGGCAGAGGGAGGUGGAAUUCCACGUGUAGCAGUGAAAUGCGUAGAGAUGUGGAGGAACACCGAUGGCGAAGGCAGCCUCCUGGGCUAGUACUGACGCUCAUGCACGAAAGCGUGGGGAGCAAACAGG